CCUACGGGUGGCAGCAGUGAGGAAUAUUGGUCAAUGGACGAGAGUCUGAACCAGCCAAGUAGCGUGAAGGAUGACUGCCCUAUGGGUUGUAAACUUCUUUUAUAAAGGAAUAAAACGAGGCACGUGUGCCUUUUUGCAUGUACUUUAUGAAUAAGGAUCGGCUAACUCCGUGCCAGCAGCCGCGGUAAUACGGAGGAUCCGAGCGUUAUCCGGAUUUAUUGGGUUUAAAGGGGACGUAGAUGGGUUGUUAAGUCAGUUGUGAAAGUUUGCGGCUCAACCGUAAAAUUGCAAUUGAUACUGGCAGUCGUGAGUACAGUUGAGGUAGGCGGAAUUCGUGGUGUAGCGGUGAAAUGCUUAGAUAUCACGAAGAACCCCGAUUGCGAAGGCAGCUUACUAAACUGUGAUUGACAUUGAUGCUCGAAAGUGUGGGUAUCAAACAGGAUUAGAUACCCGUGUAGUC
rnacentral:rRNA from 1 species